GAAAAAACUCCCCUACUGUGAUAGAGGCUAGAGGGUGGUAAAGAGGAAGGCUUUACCCCAUAAAGACAAAGAAACUGGCUGAGGAGACAAGAGAAAGAAAGUAGCAGAAGAUGGGAAGGAAACAGACGGAGUCUCACUUGUGUUGCCAAGAGAGCUUGAGCAUCAACUGGCAGUGAGGAUGGCAGGAAAGCAACUGACUUAUCCCCUCUCACCAGACCUUCCAACUGUCUGCAACACUGGCAUUGCCACGUAUCCCG
rnacentral:lncRNA from 1 species